rnacentral:misc_RNA from 1 species
GAUGAAGAACGUAGCGAAAUGCGAUAAGUAGUGUGAAUUGCAGAAUUCAGUGAAUCAUCGAAUCUUUGAACGCACAUUGCGCCCCUUGGUAUUCCAUGGGGCAUGCCUGUUCGAGCGUCAUUUGUACCUUCAAGCUCUGCUUGGUGUUGGGUGAUUGUCUAUCUUUGUAGACUCGCCUUAAAGUCAUUGGCAGCCGGCAUAUUGGCCUGGGAGCGCAGCACAAGUCGCGCUUCUUGUCAUGAAUGUUGGCGUACAGUAAGUCUACAUAUUUUGCUCUUGACCUCGGAUCAGGUAGGGAUACCCGCUGAACUUAAGCAUAUCAAUAAGCGGAGGA